rnacentral:rRNA from 1 species
GUCCUUUGGAUGGGCCCGCGUUGGAUUAGCUAGUUGGUGGGUAAAGGCCUACCAAGGCGACGAUCCAUAGCUGGUCUGAGAGGAUGAUCAGCCACACUGGGACUGAGACACGGCCCAGACUCCUACGGGAGGCAGCAGUGGGGAAUAUUGGACAAUGGGCGCAAGCCUGAUCCAGCAAUGCCGCGUGCAGGAUGAAGGCCUUCGGGUUGUAAACUGCUUUUGUACGGAACGAAACGGUGAGCUCUAAUACAGUUUGCUAAUGACGGUACCGUAAGAAUAAGCACCGGCUAACUACGUG